rnacentral:rRNA from 1 species
UGCAAGUCGACGGCAGCACGAGAGAGCUUGCUCUCUUGGUGGCGAGUGGCGGACGGGUGAGGAAUACAUCGGAAUCUACCUUUUGGUGGGGGAUAACGUAGGGAAACUUACGCUAAUACCGCAUACGCCCUUCGGGGGAAAGCCGGGGACCUUCGGGCCUGGCGCUGAUAGAUGAGCCGAUGUCGGAUUAGCUAGUUGGUGAGGUAAUGGCUCACCAAGGCGACGAUCCGUAGCUGGUCUGAGAGGAUGAUCAGCCACACUGGAACUGAGACACGGUCCAGACUCCUACGGGAGGCAGCAGUGGGGAAUAUUGGACAAUGGGCGCAAGCCUGAUCCAGCCAUACCGCGUGGGUGAAGAAGGCCUUCGGGUUGUAAAGCCCUUUUGUUGGGAAAGAAAAGCGAUCGGUUAAUACCCGGUUGUUCUGACGGUACCCAAAGAAUAAGCACCGGCUAACUUCGUGCCAGCAGCCGCGGUAAUACGAAGGGUGCAAGCGUUACUCGGAAUUACUGGGCGUAAAGCGUGCGUAGGUGGUGGUUUAAGUCCGUUGUGAAAGCCCUGGGCUCAACCUGGGAAUUGCAGUGGAUACUGGGUCACUAGAGUGUGGUAGAGGAUAGUGGAAUUUCCGGUGUAGCAGUGAAAUGCGUAGAGAUCGGAAGGAACAUCUGUGGCGAAGGCGACUAUCUGGGCCAACACUGACACUGAGGCACGAAAGCGUGGGGAGCAAACAGGA